UACGGGGGGGGCAAGCGUUGUUCGGAAUUACUGGGCGUAAAGGGCUCGUAGGCGGCCAACUAAGUCAGACGUGAAAUCCCUCGGCUUAACCGGGGAACUGCGUCUGAUACUGGUUGGCUUGAGUUUGGGAGAGGGAUGCGGAAUUCCAGGUGUAGCGGUGAAAUGCGUAGAUAUGCGGAGGAACACCGAUGGCGAAGGCAAUCCCCUGGGCCUGCACUGACGCUCAUGCACGAAAGCGUGGGGAGCAAACAGG
rnacentral:rRNA from 1 species